UCUUUCUGCCCGUUGGAGCCUUCAUUGUUCAGGUAUUCCUUCACUUUCAGCUUCCUUUCCAAUUCUUUUAGAGGCUUUGAGGAUGGAACCUUUCCCAAAGGGCAUGCUAGGCCCACCUUCUAGCUCCUCGGCAAGCGAUUUCAACUAUCUAGCACUCUGCUCCCUAUUCACCAUUCUGAAGCCGAGGAGUCUAUAGAUUCGUUUGCCUCUCUUGUUUCACCAAUUGCCAGCAUCUUUCAGGUGCAGCGUUUUGAGUCAUCCUUCUCCUGAAUUCUCUUAAAACAUGCCGUUUCUUUUUACCUUAAAGCCAUGUCUUCUUUUUUCCUCUGUUUCGCUUCUUCUCUGCACAUCUACAUAGAAAAAAACCAGACAAAACCUUAGAGCCCCUUCUCUCUCCCUCAUUAUCCAAAGAACAAACCCUAUCCUCUAUUGCCAUCCUUCUCCUUUACUUCAAGGAAGAUGAAGUCUACAAGCCGAAGUUGUUUGAGUUCAAGUUUCUGCGUUGCCACUUCAAUUCAAGCCAUCAUCAGCUGGCCUUUGGUUAGCUGGGGUGGAAUUUACUAAUUCUCAACUGAUCAUAAACCUAUAAGUUGUUUUUCAAUUUGAUCCCUUGAUGUUUCCUACAUUAAUUUCCUAAAGGAUCUUUUUUUCAAUUAUGGUUGACAUUUACCGAAUAAUGUUCAUAAUUUAUGGAAAUGUUUUUAACACAACACUGAAAAGAAUGAGUAUACAUUUGUUAGGGACUAAAUUGAGGUUUCCCAAACAAAAAGGUCACAGGAGCAGGAACUCUGAUAAACUGACAAGAUGGUGACACUCAACCUGGGACACCCAGUGAUCUCUCCCUCCUUAAAAUGACAAAGCCUGUCGCUGCCAGAACCAAACUCAUCGUCGUUUAUGACCUCGGCCAUGGCCAUAGCGACUGCAGCCUCCUCUCUUCUCCACUCAAAACCACCACCACCACCACCAACUCUCCUUUCUCAUUCCCCACAAUCAGCACAACAACUUCACCUUCCCAAAACAACAUCCUCCAAAUGGACCCCAUUAGUACUCACCACGAGUCAUUCAACCUUGGAAAAGACCAUGCCCACGACAAGUCGUUCCACUAAUUUCCCAGACCUCUCUUUCCUUUCUUCUUUGACAACAUCUGCUAUUGAUAAUCUAGCCAUGGUGAGUCCUUCACUUGCAUAUGCGAACACCCUUUACUUCAAAUUUGGAUUUAACGUGCAAAUCAACGUGAAAGAGAACGAGCCUGAGGAGAGUAUACUGUUUCGGUUCAAGAAAGCUGUUAUAAGGGCACGUGUUUUGCAGGAGUGUAGGAGGAGGAGGUUCUUUGAGAGCACACAAGAUAAGAAGAAGAGAAAAACUAGAGAUGCUGCUAGAAGAAACAGUCAGAGACGCCCACAGCCAAGAACACCAGUUAAACAGGAAGCACCCAAGAAGAAAAAGGAUGACGAUGACGAUGACAACUGGGAACUCCCAUAAGGAGAGAUUCCCUAUCGCUUACUGAGGCAACGAGGUCCAUAAGAGGAAGCCAGAUAGCAGCUGAAACGAGAAGGAAAGAACAAAGAUGAAUGCUGUUUUCAAGAAUCUCCCAACCGAUGAAUCCAUAGCUCAAGUGACUGACAGCCUCCCUCUUGCCUAAAUGAAAUGGAAUGAAUCAAAUCAGUAAGCUUUUUAAUUGAUUCAGGGUGAAGCGAAGCCAAAUUCAACCAGGCAAGGUCGGCCUUUGCCCAAGUUUGGUGAGUGGGAUGUGAACAACCCUGCCUCUGCUGAAGGAUUCACAGUCAUAUUCAACAAGGCUAGAGACGAGAAGAAGACCAAAAAUAGUCCUGCAAAAGUUGUUUCGCCACGGAGAACUGAACCUGUGUUCAACAAAAAUGCCAAAAAUGAGAACUAUGAGCAUCCUCCGAAGAGGAGGUGGCUUUGCUAUGUUGAACUCAUAAUGCACUAAGAGCCUCGAUGAAUGACUGGUGAAACUAACAAUGUCCGGGGUGGGGAUUCUCUUACUAGUUAAUGCCUAAGCCUUCUGAUGGAGGACUGAAUGGUUUAUGACCAUACUUAUCUUU